rnacentral:rRNA from 1 species
UAGUACGGCGAGUGAGAGGGAAGAGCCCAAGAUUGAAAGCUGGCGUCUUCGGCGUCCGCAUUGUAAUCUCAAGAAGUGUUUUCCGCUUCGGACCAUGCCUAAGUCCCUUGGAAAAGGGCAUCAUAGAGGGUGAUAAUCCCGUACAUGGCAUGGAGCGCCCGUAGCUUUGUGAUACGCUUUCUAAGAGUCGAGUUGUUUGGGAAUGCAGCUCAAAAUGGGUGGUAAAUGCCAUCUAAGGCUAAAUAUUGGGGAGAGACCGAUAGCGAACAAGUACAGUGAUGGAAAGAUGAAAAGAACUUUGAAAAGAGAGUUAAACAGUACGUGAAAUUGCCAAAAGGGAAGGGUAGGAGGUCAGAGAUGCGUCUUGGGAUUCAGCCUUGCUUUUGCCUGGUGUUUUUCCCAAGCUGCAGGCCAACGUCGGUUUUGGGCACUGGAGAAGGGUAGGAGGAACGUGGCACCUCUCGGGGUGUGUUAUAGCCUCCUACUGGAUACAGCGACCGAGACCGAGGAACGCAGCGUACUCGUAAGAGCGGGCCUUUUGGCACCUUUACGCUUAGGGCGUUGGCAUAAUGGCCCUCUACCACCCGUCUU